UACGAAGGGGGCUAGCGUUGCUCGGAAUCACUGGGCGUAAAGGGUGCGUAGGCGGGUCUUUAAGUCAGGGGUGAAAUCCUGGAGCUCAACUCCAGAACUGCCUUUGAUACUGAAGAUCUUGAGUUCGGGAGAGGCGCGUGGAAUUGCAGGUGUAGCGGUGAAAUGCGUAGAUAUCUGCAGGAACACCCGUGGCGAAAGCGGCGCGCUGGACCACUACUGACGCUGAGGAACGAAAGCUAGGGGAGCAAACAGG
rnacentral:rRNA from 1 species